rnacentral:rRNA from 1 species
AACGAACGCUGGCGGCAGGCCUAACACAUGCAAGUCGAGCGGAUGAGGAAAGCUCGCUUUUCGAUUCAGCGGCGGACGGGUGAGUAAUGCCUAGGAAUCUGCCUGUUAGUGGGGGAUAACUCGGGGAAACUCGGGCUAAUACCGCAUACGUCCUACGGGAGAAAGUGGGGGAUCUUCGGACCCCACGCUAACAGAUGAGCCUAGGUCGGAUUAGCUAGUAGGUGAGGUAAUGGCUCACCUAGGCGACGAUCCGUAACUGGUCUGAGAGGAUGAUCAGUCACACUGGAAAUGAGACACGGUCCAGAAUCCUACGGGAGGCAGCAGUGGGUAAUAUUGGACAAUGGGCGAAAGCCUGAUCCAGCCAUGCCGCGUGUGUGAAGAAGGUCUUCGGAUUGUAAAGCACUUUAAGUUGGGAGGAAGGGUAUUCACCUAAUACGUGGGUACUUUGACGUUACCAACAGAAUAAGCACCGGCUAACUCUGUGCCAGCAGCCGCAGUAAAAC